rnacentral:rRNA from 1 species
UGGGGAAUAUUGGACAAUGGGCGCAAGCCUGAUCCAGCAAUGCCGCGUGUGUGAAGAAGGCCUUCGGGUUGUAAAGCACUUUUAUCGGGAGCGAAAAGCGGCCGGCUAACACCCGGUCGUGCUGACGGUACCCGAGGAAUAAGCACCGGCUAACUUCGUGCCAGCAGCCGCGGUAAUACGAAGGGUGCAAGCGUUAAUCGGAAUUACUGGGCGUAAAGCGUGCGUAGGCGGUCAUUUAAGUCCGUUGUGAAAGCCCUGGGCUCAACCUGGGAACUGCAGUGGAUACUGGAUGGCUAGAGUACGGUAGAGGAAGGUGGAAUUCCCGGUGUAGCGGUGAAAUGCGUAGAGAUCGGGAGGAACAUCAGUGGCGAAGGCGGCCUUCUGGACCAGUACUGACGCU